UUUAUCGCAAUGGAGGAGAACAAUGAUGUCUAUUCACGCUGGUGCAAGUUCCAUCCUCACCAAUUGAUAUCCUCUCACUAGCAUUUAACAAUUUAACCACUAACACUCAUUUGUCCAAAAAAAUAAAAAAAUUUGUAAUGAACGUGCAUGUGGGGACACUUAAGUUGAUAAAAAUUGAUAAAUUAAGAUCACAUUGCUAAUUAAGAUUGUUAGAAAUAAAAUAUGGAGUAAGAGAGAAUGAAGAUAGACAAGAGUCUUUCUUUCUCAUUAGAGUGCAUAUUUAUAGACCUAGGAUUUACAUAGAAAAAGGUAUAACUCCCAAAAGUUAGUCAUAUAUAAUAAAUCAUAUUUACCACACUUUUCUUUGGAAGUUCACCAAUUAAUGUAGUUGCCUUGAUAAAAUCUUGCUUGGAAAAUCCAGUGGGACAAAACCUAAGCGAAGGAGAAAAAUCAAGCGCAAUGUUUUAUGAAAUAUUAUUAACGUGUUGGACACGAAUAAUGAUAUAGCAUAAGACUCCCCCUAACGAAUAACUCUCUUUGGUGAAUAAUUCCCCUUGAAAAUAGUAAGCCUUGAUUCGAAUGUCGUCAUUGUUGAGUCUGAUAUUGACAAACAUUCAUUUUCAACAAUUGAACUUUAGUAAAGCUUGUCCUCGGGAAGUAUUAGAGUUUAUCAGGAGUUGACAAUAGCCAUUUGUAUUCCUGCAUAGAGUAAAUAAAUACAAAAUCUAGGAUUCGAAACAAUCUAGGAGCAACUUUACUCCAUCGCGAAUAUAAGCCAUAUAUACAAAUAGUCUGAUAGGCUAUUAGUAGUUCUACAAAAAUGUGAACGCUUUCAAGAGUAUGUUGCAGCAAUAUGUAAAUUUGGUUCGAAGUAACAAUUACAUAAAUUUAUGUAGAAUAAGUAUAGAGUACAUACUUUGAGCAUCAUGCUCUUAAAUUAAAAUCUUUGAUAAAUAAUUUUCUGGCAUGUUCUAUACUUUAAUAAAUCGCUUUGAGAGCUUUGAACACAUGUCAUAGGUUUCACGUUUAAAGAAACACUGUAUUUAUAUGUGGGUCUUGUUGGAAAUUAUAUAUAUUAUAAUAUGAAAUAUUGUAAUGUAUAAUUUUAAUAAUUGAAUGAAAAAUAGUGUUAAUCAAUUUCUUAGAAAGGUUAUGUUGUUUAGGUGUAUUCUCUUGAUAAGUGAUGUAUACUUAUAGAUGAAAAGUUACAUCUCAUUAACAAGAAGUGCUUUGACUUCGGAUUAUAGAUUGUUGAAUCAUGGAAGAUGGACGCCUAUCAAACUACAAGCACAAGAGUAUGGCCGAAAUUCUAUCUUUAGGAUAUUGCAUUUAUGCAAGCCUCAAUCUCCAAGUUUGUCAGUUUUUCUAUCUUUAUCUCUAGUUGUUUAUAUUAAUCUCAUAUAUAAUUGAUGUUAUGAAUUUCUUUAUGAUUAUUAUCAUUGGAAUUAUAUUGUUAUUUUUCAUGUUUUCUAAUAUUGUUCCAACAGCUCUAUCUACAAUGAGAGGAUAUAAAUGUCAUAAUAGUGAUUUAAUUUCACUUCAUUACAAAUACCUCAGAAUAAUAACAUUUAGGGUUAAUACUGUAGGUUCACUUAUUUCAUGUUUUUCAAUGGCUCUCGAAAGUAGUAU
rnacentral:lncRNA from 1 species